CACGUAGGGGGCGAGCGUUGUCCGGAUUUAUUGGGCGUAAAGGGUGCGUAGGCGGCGCGGUAAGUCGGGUGUGAAAUCUCGGAGCUUAACUCCGAAACUGCAUUCGAUACUGCCGUGCUUGAGGACUGGAGAGGAGACUGGAAUUUACGGUGUAGCGGUGAAAUGCGUAGAUAUCGUAAGGAAGACCAGUGGCGAAGGCGGGUCUCUGGACAGUUCCUGACGCUGAGGCACGAAGGCCAGGGGAGCAAACGGG
rnacentral:rRNA from 1 species